UACCUACGGGGCGCAGCAGUGAGGAAUAUUGGUCAAUGGGCGGGAGCCUGAACCAGCCAAGUCGCGUGAGGGAUGACGGCCCUAUGGGUUGUAAACCUCCUUAGGCGGGGAGCAAUGCCGGGCACGCGUGCCCGGAGGGAGAAUACCCGCAGAAUAAGCAUCGGCUAACUCCGUGCCAGCAGCCGCGGUAAUACGGAGGAUGCGAGCGUUAUCCGGAUUUAUUGGGUCUAAAGGGUGCGUGGGCGGAUUUUUAAGUCAGCGGUAAAAUGUCCGGGCUCAACCCGGGCCGGCCGGUGAAACUGGGG
rnacentral:rRNA from 1 species